rnacentral:rRNA from 1 species
AACAAACGCUGGCGGCGUGCCUAAUACAUGCAAGUCGAACGAGGAAAGCUUUCGGGUGAGUACUAGUGGCGCACGGGUGAGGAAUAUAUGGGUAAUCUGCCCUCGAGUUGGGGAUAACCAGUCGAAAGACUGGCUAAUACCGAAUAAGACCACAGGAUCUGCGUAUCUAGGGGUUAAAGGUUUUUCGCUUGAGGAUGAGCCCAUACGGGAUUAGCUAGUUGGCGAGGUAAUGGCUCACCAAGGCUACGAACCCUAACUGGUCUUAGAGGAUGAUCAGUCACACUGGAACUGAGACACGGUCCAGACUCCUACGGGAGGCAGCAGUAGGGAAUAUUGCACAAUGGGGGAAACCCUGAUGCAGCGACGCCGCGUGAGUGAUGAAGGCCUUCGGGUCGUAAAGCUCUGUCGUAUGGGACUAACACAAUGAAGGUACCAUGCAAGAAAGGAUCGGCUAACUUCGUGCCAGCAGCCGCAGUAA